rnacentral:rRNA from 2 species
GACAUAUACCGGAAAGCCGUAGAGAUACGGCCCCCCUUGUGGUCGGUAUACAGGUGGUGCAUGGCUGUCGUCAGCUCGUGUCGUGAGAUGUUGGGUUAAGUCCCGCAACGAGCGCAACCCUUGUCCUGUGUUGCCAGCGCGUAAUGGCGGGGACUCGCAGGAGACUGCCGGGGUCAACUCGGAGGAAGGUGGGGACGACGUCAAGUCAUCAUGCCCCUUAUGUCCAGGGCUUCACACAUGCUACAAUGGCCGGUACAGAGGGCUGCGAUACCGUGAGGUGGAGCGAAUCCCUUAAAGCCGGUCUCAGUUCGGAUCGGGGUCUGCAACUCGACCCCGUGAAGUCGGAGUCGCUAGUAAUCGCAGAUCAGCAACGCUGCGGUGAAUACGUUCCCGGGUCUUGUACACACGAAA